CAGUCGCCGCGGGAAUACGAGGGGGGCAAGCGUUGUUCGGAAUUAUUGGGCGUAAAGGGUGCGUAGGCGGCCCCGCAAGUCCUGUGUGAAAUCCUCAAGCUCAACUUGGGGUCUGCACGGGAAACUGCUGGGCUGGAGUAUGGGAGAGGUGAGUGGAAUUCCUGGUGUAGCGGUGAAAUGCGUAGAUAUCAGGAGGAACACCUGUGGCGAAAGCGGCUCACUGGACCAUAACUGACGCUGAGGCACGAAAGCUAGGGGAGCAAACAGGAUUAGAUACCCCAGUAGUCCCUGUCUCUUAUAA
rnacentral:rRNA from 1 species